AUGUGGAGGGAGGCGGGAGCCAACAACAGCUCUGUUCACAAAGACCCACAGGACCACAAUCUCACACAGAUAGUUUCCCCAGUGUCUUCGUGGCUCCGCUCCAACUCCGAUAGAAAUGGCUCAGCAGCUAGCAGUCCACCCCCUCUUGCUGAGACCCCCGUGAACAGAGAGAGUGGAAUCAUACCAGGUGCGAUUGCCGCAGCAGUGUUCAUAGGCUUUCUGUUAGCCCUCUAUACUGUUCUUUGGAAAUGCAUGGUAACGCAACCAAAAAGGAGGAAAAAGAGAGUGAGUUUGAAGGCUCGUGAACAGAGGUCUCUUACAUGCUGACCUCUGGACGAGACGUCCGCCUAGGUUCUGAGUUACUGAUGUUAGGAUAGACUAGCACUUCUCUAUGUGUGAGCACCCUUAAAGGCACAGUUUGAGACGAUAUUUCAUGCAUGAGGGAACUAGAUGCUUCAGUUCUACAUGGUCAUUAACAGAUCAAUAUCUGCUAUGUUUCAUAAGUCACCCAUCUUGUUCUGGAUUGGGCUGUUUGACAGUCAGACCGGAGAGUUACAUUUUAGAAAAUUAUUUUUGUAUAUUAUGUGUAUAUAUAGAGAGAAUAGCAAGCCCAAAUCUGCUCUCGAGGUAUGUAUGAAUAGUUUUCUUUGUGACAGCACCACAAAUGUCCACUAGAUGGCAGAGGGUCAAUGUUUUUUUUUUAACUUGCUGGAACAAGGAAAUCAGCCAAGAUACACAGUAGAGUCUUUCAGUCUUAACACUUUUAUCUUUAUAGACUUGUGUGUUUGGGACAUUCAUUUUAUUGCUGAUAGCUAUGCUAAUUAAUACAUAAAAGAUAUAAUAAAUUUUUAGAGUCUAGGCCCUUGUUUUUCUCC
ensembl:lncRNA